rnacentral:tRNA from 1 species
GCCGGGGUGGCGAAAUUGGCAGACGCCCAGGACUUAGAAUCCUGUGCUGGCAACAGCGUGCGGGUUCAAGUCCCGCCUCCGGCA